rnacentral:tRNA from 1 species
UCCCGCGUGGCCUAGUGGGUUAAGGAUCCAGUGUUGUCACUGCUGUGGCUCAGGUUCGAUCCCUGGCCCGGGAA